rnacentral:sRNA from 1 species
UAACCGAGGGUCAACGAUCAUGCUGAAACGUUGACUAUCAGCAGGAUACUCUUUGACCCAAUCCAAUAGCCUU